rnacentral:rRNA from 1 species
UAAGCAUAUAAGUAAGCGGAGGAAAAGAAACGAAAGAGGAUCCCCCAAGUAAUGGCGAAUGAACAGGGGUAAGUUCAGCAUGGAAAUUGGAGCCUCUGGCUUUGACUUGUGAUCUCAAGGUGUACAACCAACAGAUGUGCAGGUGUAAACCUCUUGGAAAAGAGUACCGUCGAGGGUGAGAGUCCCGCGCGUCACUUGCCGCCUUUCUGUGCACGGUGUGCAUUCCAAGAGUCACGUUCCUUGGGAUUGGAGCGCAAAGUGGGUGGUAAAUUUCAUCUAAAACUAAAUAUGGGCCCAAGACCGAUAGCAAACAAGUACCCUGAGGGAAAAGUGAAAAGGACUUUGAAAAGAGAGUUAAACAGAGCCUGCCAUCGCUGAAAGGGAAGCGAACGAAACUAGUUUGGUUUGGCGAGAUUGUGGCGUGCUAAUCCGAUUGCUUGCCGCUUCAACUCACGUGUGGUGACAGGUUAUGAAGAGGAUGCGCGUUACACUUCUCGCCUUUUCAAUCAGCAUCUGUUCAGGCGCGGGGAAAAAACAGGGGCAUGGUAGCUCUUCCUCGGAGGAGUGAAUACCCUUGCGGCUACCCGCGUGUGCACGGAUUGUUGGUGACAUGGUUUCUUUCGACCCGUCUUGAAACACGGACCAAGGA